GAUGAACGCUAGCGGGAGGCCUAACACAUGCAAGCCGAGCGGUAGAGUUUCUUCGGAAACUUGAGAGCGGCGCACGGGGGCGUAACACGUGUGCAACCUACCUUUAUCUGGGGGAUAGCCUUUCGAAAGGAAGAUUAAUACCCCAUAAUAUAAUGAUUGGCAUCAAUUAUUAUUGAAAACUCCGGUGGAUAGAGAUGGGCACGCGCAAGAUUAGAUAGUUGGUGAGGUAACGGCUCACCAAGUCAAUGAUCUUUAGGGGUCCUGAGAGGGAGAUCCCCCACACUGGUACUGAGACACGGACCAGACUCCUACGGGACGCAGCAGUGAGGAAUAUUGGACAAUGGGUGAGAGCCUGAUCCAGCCAUCCCGCGUGAAGGAUGACGGUCCUAUGGAUGGUAAACUUCUUUUGGACAGGGAUAAACCUACCCUCGUGAGGGUAGCUGACGGUACUGUACGAAUAAGCACCGGCUAACUCCGUG
rnacentral:rRNA from 1 species